GGAUACAAGAACCAGUGGGCUCCUUCUAGGUCAACCCUCAGACUGGGGUCCCAGUCAGGCUGUGACUGGCUGGCGUGACCUCACACUGGGACCAACAGCCUCAAGCCCCGAUUCAGGGGAGCUGGAGGCCAAGGCUGUCUUCCAUGUCCCCUUCCCGUCCCUCAGCCCAGGAGGCUUAAGGCAGGGGGCAGGGUCUCGGUGACUCGGGGCAGGUUUAGAUUCCUGAUGGGAUGCCUGGGUCACAGCUGCUGGGCCAAGUACGUACCGUGAUGUUGCCACUUAUGUCCGACUUGAUGGGCGUAAACACCGGGGACCCCAGGCAGUCUGGGGAGAAAACGAUACGAGGCAUUAGAUCCCCAGAAAGGGCCACGGAGGCCUGUGGUCAGGAGGGGGGAUCCCUCGACGUGUUUAAGGAAAGGCAGAGCUGUUUAUAGGAGUAAAAAUGUCCUUGGGCAAGUACGCUUGGCGUGCUUGGCUCCUGGCGAGACCAGAUUCCCACGGCAGGUCUCGUCAGAGCCUUUGCAAUUCGACUGGAACACCCUGGGGAGCGGCAAACUCCUCAGUCCGCAGCGCCCUCCGCACGAGAACUGAGCUGUCCCACAGAACUCACAGCAGUGACGGAAACGUUCUGUAUCUGCGCCGUCGGCUGCAGGGAGCCGCUGAGCCCUUGGAAUGUGGGCGGCCGGACGGAGCAACUGAAUUUGUAAUUUUAUUUAACUCUCAUUCAUUUGAAUUUAAAGAGCCACAUGUGGCCAGUGGCUACCGUAUUGGACAGCAUAGCUGUGUCGUACGUAUCUCGCAGAACUAAUGGUCUGAAAACCCCAUCUUGGCCAACAAGGCAGAUCACUGCAAAUUAGCCAGCUGGCCUGGAGGCGGACUGAGGAAUCUUAUGAGGUGGGAGAAGAGGGACCAGAUUUAUUAAAGAGGACCUUCGCAAUCACCAGCUUAUACGGAAGAAAUGAGCUGAUGACCCCGAGGCUCCAUGGUCCUGAGACUCUGCAUAAAAGCCUAAGAGAAUACACCAGCAAGAGAAUCAGUCACUUAACAGAGCGUGAACUUGGCCUAGACACCCACCCCAUUCUGCACGCUCCGGUCGUGUGGGCUUGGGGGGUGAAUCCCUUCACCCUCUGAGCAUCAACUGUCCCAUCUGGCAAACGGGACACCAGGACCAAUCACAGAGGUGCUGUGAGGGCGACUUAAAACGAUCCGCUCCCGGGACACAUAUUUUGUGCAUCUCUGCAAUAGGAAUGUUCUCAGUUGAAGAGAGAGAGGAGGGGAGAAAGAGAAACAUUGAUUGGGACUACACUCCAACCGACCGAUCUACCCAGCCAGUGCCCUAUCUUUAUUUCUUGGCAGCUCAUAGAACACCAGAGCAUCCUGAAAUGGGGGAUGAGUUUGAGUGAAUGAAAUGUAGGCCUAGAACCUGGCCAUGCCUGGAACUCUCGGCUCCACGUCAAAUGCAAGCAGCCUGUGACCUGCCUCUGAUCCUUUGCCUCCUUUGCGACCCACCAGGCUCAUGGGCCAGAGACAUCCACAUCCCACAGGCCAGCCAGGGGCCCUGGUGCACAGGAACUGAGGAUAGAAGGACACCUACAGGCUGAAUUCCAUCCAAGGUGGCCCAGCACACCUGGACAGCCAUCUGGGACAUUCUAAUCACAGCUGUGCAAAGAGGUACAGUGGAGAAACAGCACUAGACAUUAUAAAUGAAAUAGCCCAUAACUGAAUGCAAAGGCGGGUUAGGGACAGCCCAGGCUGGACUCCUGGCCCGACUGCUCCCCGGCUGAGCAAGUCUCCUGGCCUGUGUGACUCAGUUUCCCCACAUGGCAAAGGGGCAGUGACAUGACUUCCGCCAAGAUGGAGGCGUAGGUGGAAACACUGUGCCUUCUCACACAACCAAGUUUAAAAGGGGCAGUAACAGUAGUUGUUUCACAAGCUUGUACAAAUUAAAAAUUGUGCACUGAAUUUGUUUAGCAGAGCACCAGGUAUGCACACUGAACAAAUAGACUUUGUAGUUAUUUUUGUGACUUCAUAUGAGGCUCAGACUCCGUGGUCCAGCAAAUGUCACCCAGGUGUCACCAGGCUGUGCAUGGGAGCUCCCGGGUCCCCCAGAGUUUCCACCGAGUGGGAACACACUCAGCCUGCAGCCCCCGACACCCCUACUCUCCUUCCCGAGGCCACUCCUUGGGACUGGGUCUCCUGGUACAGGAUCCUCAGGCUGAGCCGUGAGCACUCUCUUCUCCACGACUGGGAGCAAAUCUCCCAGGAGGAGGCCACGCUGGAACCCUCCCCCAGGGUGGCCACGAGCAGCUGCCCCAAGGCGCUGGGCCGAGGCUACCGGCCGCCUGAGCCAUCUGAUCCCAGGUGCCCUGGCCCCAGUGGGCUGUGUCCCCAGUGGGUGCUUACUGUAUAGUGCAGAACGUGACUCUAGAGGCGUAUUUCCUGCCAGGCAGUUGCUCGAUCCACUUCUCACAGUUCAGACUGACCCAGUGUGCUACUUCUAACCACCCAUUAAUCAAGACGGCAGAGGCUAUGGGAAGGGGCUUGGACCUUGGUUCCCGUGUGUGAGGGACAUCGCCUGUAGGGCUCUGGGGGCUGCCAUGAGGGCGGGAGGGUGUCCUACGCAUAGUGGGGGCGCUCAGAGCUCUGGCCGUGAUGACUGCUGCUCCCGGAGAAGGUGCGGAGCCAGGGCUGGGGAGCAGCCCGCCGUCUACCAUGCAAGCAGUUUCUCAGCUCUU